rnacentral:rRNA from 1 species
UGCCAGCCGCCGCGGUAAUACGGAGGGUCCGAGCGUUAAUCGGAAUUACUGGGCGUAAAGCGUACGUAGGUUGUUUGUUAAGUUGGAUGUGAAAGCCCAGGGCUCAACCUUGGAACUGCAUUCAAAACUGACGAACUAGAGUAUGGUAGAGGUAAGUGGAAUUUCCUGUGUAGCGGUGAAAUGCGUAGAGAUGGGAAGGAACAUCAGUGGCGAAGGCGACUUACUGGACCAAUACUGACGCUGAGAUGCGAAAGCGUGGGGAGCAAACAGGAUUAGAUA